rnacentral:tRNA from 1 species
AGAAAUUUAGGUUAACAAUAAACCAAGAGCCUUCAAAACUCUAAACAUGAGACAAACCUCCUAAUUUCUG